ACCGGAUGCGGAUCUCGAAAGCCUGUCCCAGUUCGGACUGGAGUCUGCAACCCGACUCCACGAAGUUGGAUUCGCUAGUAAUCGCGCAUCAGCCAUGGCGCGGUGAAUACGUUCCCGGGCCUUGUACACGCCGCCCGUCAAGCCAUGGGAGCCGGGGGCGCCUGAAGUCCGGGACCGCGAGGACCGGCCUAGGGCGAAACUGGUAACUGGGGCUAAGUCGUAACAAGGUAUC
rnacentral:rRNA from 1 species